rnacentral:rRNA from 1 species
CUACGGGCGGCUCCAGUGGGGAAUAUUGGACAAUGGAGGCAACUCUGAUCCAGCCAUGCCGCGUGAGUGAUGAAGGCCUUAGGGUUGUAAAGCUCUUUCGCCGGUGAAGAUGAUGACUGUAGCCGGUAAAGAAGCCCCGGCUAACUUCGUGCCAGCAGCCGCGGUAAUACGAAGGGGGCUAGCGUUGUUCGGAAUUACUGGGCGUAAAGCGCGCGUAGGCGGCUUGAUCAGGCAGAGGUGAAAUCCCAGGGCUCAACCCUGGAACUGCCUUUGAUACUGUCAAGCUAGAGCUCGGAAGAGGGUGGCGGAAUAUCCAGUGUAGAGGUGAAAUUCGUAGAUAUUGGAUAGAACACCAGUGGCGAAGGCGGCCACCUGGUCCGUAGCUGACGCUGAGGUGCGAAAGCGUGGGGAGCAAACAGGAUUAGAUACCCUUGUAGUC